rnacentral:misc_RNA from 1 species
UCUCGGCUUAUCACCGGCAGUCUCAUUAGAGUGCCCUUGCGUAGCAACUAAUGAUAAGGGUUGCGCUCGUUGCGGGACUUAACCCAACAUCUCACGACACGAGCUGACGACAGCCAUGCAGCACCUGUGUUACGGUUCUCUUUCGAGCACACCUCGAUCUCUCGUGGCUUCCGUACAUGUCAAGGGUAGGUAAGGUUUUUCGCGUUGCAUCGAAUUAAUCCACAUCAUCCACCGCUUGUGCGGGUCCCCGUCAAUUCCUUUGAGUUUUAACCUUGCGGCCGUACUCCCCAGGCGGCUCACUUCACGCGUUAGCUACGGUACCAAGGAAUCGCUUCCCCAACACCUAGUGAGCAUCGUUUAGGGCGUGGACUAC